GGAUGCGAUCAUACCAGCACUAAAGCAGCGGAUCCCAUCAGAACUCCGAAGUUAAGCGUGCUUGGGCAACAGUAGUACUAGGAUGGGUGACCUCCUGGGAAGUCCUCGUGUUGCAUUCC
rnacentral:rRNA from 16 species